AGGCAUUUAGAAAGCUAAAGAGACCAGUUCCAGUGAAGAUGCAAGAAAAAAGGGUCCUCAUGCUUUCUGUCUGUCUCAUUGUGGCAGCCAAGAUUGAAUGGGGGAAUACAGUG
rnacentral:snoRNA from 1 species